rnacentral:tRNA from 1 species
GGUGCGAUAGCUCAAUGGAUCAGAGCUCGCGGAUGAUAACCGCGCGAUGAAAGUUCGAUUCUUUCUCGCAUCA